GAUGAACGCUGGCGGCGUGCUUAACACAUGCAAGUCGAACGAAGCACUUUAUUUGAUUUCCUUCGGGACUGAUUAUUUUGUGACUGAGUGGCGGACGUGUGAGUAACGCGUGGGUAACCUGCCUUGUACAGGGGGAUAACAGUUGGAAACGGCUGCUAAUACCGCAUAAGCGCACGGCAUCGCAUGAUGCAGUGUGAAAAACUCCGGUGGUAUAAGAUGGACCCGCGUUGGAUUAGCUAGUUGGUGAGGUAACGGCACACCAAGGCGACGAUGCAUAGCCGACAUGAGAGGGUGCCCGGCCACAUUGGGACUGCGGCACAGCCCACAAUCCUACGGGAGGGAGCAGUGGGGAAUACUACAGAAUGGGCGCAAGCGUGAUGCAGCCACGCCGCGUGAGCGAAGAAGUAUUUCGGUAUGUAAAGCUCUAUCAGCAGGGAAGAUAAUGACGGUACCUGACUAAGAAGCACCGGCUAACUACGUG
rnacentral:rRNA from 1 species